UUAUUAUCUUAAACUUUUGGGGCAUAUAUUUAUUUUGCCCGAUUUUGACACCAGAAACAAUGAACAAAGGAUUCAGGUGUUAAGGAACCUGUUUGCCAUAAAAGCAAGUGUCUGAACUUAAGGAAAUCACCAUUUGCAGUCUAUAGGUCUUUUGCACUGCAGUAGACACAUGUCUCAAUAAGGCUGCUCUGUCUGCCUUUAGAUUAUCCUAACUGUGCAGUAGUGCACUCUGGUGUUUUCUGAGAGAAUUGUUGAGUUCUGUUUGCUUUGGUCAUUCUUGCAUGAUUUGCAAUCUUACAUUUUGUAUUCUUGAUUUUUCAGUAAAUGCCUUAGUUGAUAGGGCAUGGAUUUUAGGGGAAAAUAUCUUGCAUGAAAAGAAGACAAAGAGAAUACUAAGAUCUCCCAAAAUUGCCUGUUGACAUACCUGCUUCUUUAGGAACUUAAGCAUGGUUUUUCUUCCUCUCACUGUUACUUCUUCCAGUCUUUCCCUUUUCCUCCACAGAUGAGUCAGAUGCACAAAGGGAGAUUUCUUCUGGCUUCCUCUGCCCUUAAAAACAAGAAGAUUGCUCUGAUCAGACUCCACAGAUCACUUUAAAAUGACAAGAAGCAUGCAAUGCAUAUAAAAACCAUCAAUAAGGAGAUGAAGCAGAACAGAUGCGUUCAGAUGGAUCAUAGAGUUAUUACAGUAGUAAAAGACCACUACCAUCACCUAGUGCAGCUGUCAGCCCAUCACCUCCAUAUCACUGACCACAUCCCUCACUGCCACAUCUCCACAUUUCUUGAACACCCCCCAGGUCAGUGAGCCCUCCACCUCCCUGAGCAGCCCAUGCCAAUGCAUCACCACUCUUCCUGAGAAGAAAUUUCUCCUAAUAUCCCACCUGAAGCUCCCCUGGCACAACUUAAAGCCAUUACCUCUCAUACUGUCGUCAUUAAGACACCACUUCAUGGACAUAUAUCAGUCAUUCUGAGAGUCUUUUUUUUUUUUUACAUCUCACAUACAAAGUUGAAGGUAUAAAUACUCAGCAUGAGGCCAGCUGCUGAACUUUUAGGAUAGUUAUAUUUCAGUACGUUUAGGAGCUAGAAAUAAAACCAAAGUGAAGCUGGUGUCUGAGUUAGAACAGAAGUUCAGUUUCCCGCCCUGCUUCCCUCUCCUCAGUACGUUAUGAAGCUGUUUGCACAGCCAGCUCCUCGCCGUCAGUAUCUGUGCUGCAGUGUGCCUCCAGCACCUCCAGGCUUACAAUGAUUGUAGUCAGGAAAGAAAACAGACGGCCUUUUAGGUCUGCUGGCUGCCCAGAGAAAGUAACUGCAGUACUCUGUCACUGCUGCUGCCACCUAUAAAAAUUAGUGUGCAAAUUGUGAAAUUUGUUACCCCCUUUAUUUGCCUGACCAGCCCAUGUGGUGUGUGAGGAGCCCCUCCCCACAAAGGUGGUGGUAAUAAAGCUGAGAAUUCACUGGGAACUGAAGUAGGCUAGGCACUUUGAGCUGAAGGAAGUGGUUAGCAGAGCUCAGGCUCAGCCUCAUAGCAUUCUCUGCCAAAGCAGCCCAGUGCUGCUCACCACUCGGUCCUCUUGCCCUGCUUUCAGAGCAGACACAGCCCACACAGUGCCAUCAUCCAGCUACUGAGCUGAUCCCAGCUUGCUACAGAGUUCACCCAGAGACCUGCAUGGAGGCCAUGCAGCUCUUUGCCCAAGAGCAGGUGCUUAACACCUGAGCUUCCCUGCGCCCUCUGAGGCACCUAAGAGCUGUUAUCAGCUUUCUUUCUGCACACAGAUGUGGAAACUCUGCUCUGUGCUUUCUUCCUGUUCUCUUCCAACACUGAAUGGGUCUCCUGUGCAAUUGUGCAGGCCUCGGAUAACCUUCCCAGGCUGCGAACACAAACUGUGGGUUCUCACAUUAAACCUGUAGCUGAGAAUUUGCUCUACCAAACGGUGUUAUGGAGCUCUUUGUAUCUGCAGUGGUUUCCAUGGAAAUAAAUAGGAGACAUCAUUUUUGGAGGACCUACAUCUAAGUGCAUCACUUGGCAGCUGGUGGACUUGGGAAAGGGAACAACAACAGAAUACUGAGCUCAACUCAAACACUAACUUCAAGUAGUAUAAAUAGUUUUAAAUUGCAAUACAUUAUUUUUGCCUUACCUUCUACUUGUACAGUUUGAGGAUAUUAAAAAAAAAAAAACAAAAUAGAAGGUUAACUUUCUUACAUAUCUCUGACAUAUCCACCUUGAAAACAUAGGAAACAAACAGACACGUAAGGGGCCUCUGGCAGCAGAUGUUCAGACAGGAGCUGGUAUGGGUUGCUCAGUGGCAGUUUUGCCACCACUUCCAGCAUGGAUGCAAUUUUUGCCAGUGGGACCUUAGGAGAAAAAACAAUCAAAUAAUUAAGCUGGGGAAUGGAUUUCCUCACUCCAGCAUACUGCAUUUCCACUUGGAUCUUCCGAGGCAUUCUCUGAGUGUCAGGCAUUGCGAGGCACUGAGCCAGGCAGGCGGUCGAGCUGAGAUAGAGCAGCACUUCCAUCAGGUAUCCUCCUUCAGUGCUGCCUUGGGAAUGUCAUUUCUGUUGUCUGUUACAUUUCCACUGCUUUGCUGCUGUUAUGGGAGAGCACUCCGGAAAGGAAUAAACAUCCACAGUUAUACCGUUUCUGUGAUCCAUAGUUUAUGUAUGCUGGAUAGAAUCACAGAAAUCAUUGAGGUUGGAAAAGACCACUGAGGUCGUCUAAUCCAACCAAUUCAAUAAUGAAAUUCUGCUCUGCAGGUUCCAGCUCUUUCUUGCUGCUUAUAACGUUGUCUCCAUGCAUAUCUGUCCGUCUGCAUCUCAUUAAUUCUUCCAAAUGAGAAACAGUCACACUGCUAAGAACAGAUUAAUAUAUACAGUGUGCCCAAUGAAUUCAGGCUUGUGAUGUCUGCCAGCUCAGUUUAAUGUAAAUUUCCCAUCUGAAUGCAACAGUGUUUCUCUAGUGUAGUUAUGUUUAUAUUUAAUUAAAACCAUUACCCUUUGGUUCUUUUGGUUCAGUGCCUUAAAUGUAUUGAUCCAGAGGAAGAAGGGUAAGAACUGCUAAUGGCCUCCACACGGCGGGGCUGUAGAGUUAGGAAUGAGAUUAAAUUGCCAAAGAACAGAAUCAGAGAUGCCACAUCCUGCUGGUUAACUGAGCAAACCCCAUCACUCUUUGUCAUAACUGAAGAGGGCUGUGUGUCCUUACAGAUCUUCCUAACCGUAACAAGUUGUACUGGACCUUAGGAAAAAUGGGUAAGGAAACCUUUUUCUUUGGUAAUAGCCCCUAUUCACUAUACAGCCAAACAUCCCAAUCUCAGUAUGAAGAAACAUGGAAAUUUCAAAUACGGUUUGAUUUGUCCAUUCCCACCAAGUCAUACAAAGACAUUCACUUGUACCUUUCCCAAGCAAACCAAUGCUCAGCCAGUCUCCAAGCAAUAGCUUCUCUGGAAAGGCUGCUGACAGUCACAGCUGUGUCCCCUCCCAGCUUCUCCUAUACCCCCAGCUCCUUGCAGCGGGGGCAGAGUGAGAAACAGAGAAAGCUUAACAUUGUGCAAACCCUGAUCAGUAAAAGCUGAAACACUGCUGUGUUAUCAGCAUCAUUCAGGUCACAAAUGUAAAGCACAGCACUGUAUCACAGAAUGGUUAAGGCUGGAAAAGGCUGCUGAGAUCACAUAGUCCAACCCCAACCCAUCCCCACUGACCACAUCUCUCAGUGCCACAUCUCCACCCUUCUCAACCAGCCCCAGGCACAGUGAGUCCACCACCUCCCUGGACAGCCUGUGCCAAUGCAUCACUACUCUUUCUGAGAAGAAGUUUUUCCUAAUAUCCAACCUGAGGCUCUCCUAGUGAAACUUACAGAUUGCUUCAAAAAAUUAAUCCCAUCCCAGCACAGUAUCAUAUACUACCAAGACCCCGGUUUUCCACUCCUGCAGGAACAAUUCACAUGGUUCAUGAUUUAUGCUUGCCAGGUGCUAUAAAACGUGCACUUGAAAUAAAUGCUUACUCCUUAUCAGAGCAAGAAACAUACUGUUGUACUUGGAACCAGUGCUAAAACCCACAAAAUUAUCAGUCACUGAUUAACUCCUAACAGUUCGUGCAAUAUACUUCCUGAGUCAGCAAAGGUUCUUCUGUUCCUCUCCCUCCACACAUACAUGCAUAAUAUUUAUUAAAAAAAAAGAAAAAAAAAGCCAUAAAAAUAAACCCAGUAAGGUUAAUGAACUACAAUAAAAGGGAGAAAACUAAUCAGUGCUACGUAUUAUAUAACUGAGUAUAUGCACAUGUGUAUUUUCUGGUAAAGCUUAAUUUAUCCAGAGAACAGCUUUAAGCCUGAUAGAAGGGACCCAGGGAGCAGACAAAGCCCAGAGCCAUCACAGACAGCAAAGCACUGCUGAAAGGACAGCUGUCUGACCAGGAAUGCAGUGGGAAAAAACUGGAAAGGAGCUCUAAGCUAAUUUGAUUUGUCAGAAGAAAAUGGAAGAAAAGAGAACUGCUCCAGCUUAGUUGAAAAGAAAAAACAAACAAACAAACAACAAAAAACCCUGUUGAUUGUAUCAAUUCAGAUCAGAGGAGGCUUACAGAAGCCUAGAUAGGGCCUUAAAGAAGUGGUAGGCAGCUAAGAAAGACCUCCCUAAUAACCACAUCCCAGCCCAUACAUAACCUCCCCUUACCUCCCUUUCCUUUCAUUCUGUAUCACACCACAACCACACCAAAGCGUGAGGAUAUUUCACUACUCCUCUGGUCCAUACUUGAAGUGCUCCAAAGCAAAGCACAGCCCUCCCCUGACCCUGAUUCACUUCACCUGUGCAGGAUCAGUUAACAGAAGUGCUACCUGGAGAGGAGCUAAUUGAUUGCUGAUAGC
ensembl:lncRNA